AUUGAACGCUGGCGGAAUGCUUUACACAUGCAAGUCGAGCGGCAGCGCGGGGGCAACCCUGGCGGCGAGCGGCGAACGGGUGAGUAAUACAUCGGAACGUGUCCUUAAGUGGGGAUAGCUCGGCGAAAGCCGGAUUAAUACCGCAUAAGCUCUGAGGAGGAAAGCGGGGCUCCGUAAGGACCUCGCGCUGUUGGAGCGGCCGAUGUCGGAUUAGCUAGUUGGCGGGGUAAAGGCCCACCAAGGCGACGAUCCGUAGCUGGUCUGAGAGGAUGAUCAGCCACACUGGAACUGAGACACGGUCCAGACUCCUACGGGAGGCAGCAGUGGGAAUUUUGGACAAUGGGGCAACCCUGAUCCAG
rnacentral:rRNA from 1 species